rnacentral:rRNA from 2 species
GGAUUUGUCAGUUGGUCGGGCUUCACUGUCCGUAUUGACUUGAUGGAUUCUUACCUUCUGAAUAACCAGCAUGCUAUUAAGUUAGUGCGUUGGGGAAGCAGAUCUAUUACCUUGAAAAAAUUAGAGUGCUUAAAGCGAGCUAGUGCUUGAAUAGAUUAGCAUGGAAUAAUAAAAUAGGACGGCAUGGUUCUAUUUUGUUGGUUUCUAGGAUCACCGUA